rnacentral:rRNA from 1 species
GAUGAACGCUGGCGGCGUGCCUAAUACAUGCAAGUCGAACGCUUUGUGGUUCAACUGAUUUGAAGAGCUUGCUCAGAUAUGACGAUGGACAUUGCAAAGAGUGGCGAACGGGUGAGUAACACGUGGGAAACCUACCUCUUAGCAGGGGAUAACAUUUGGAAACAGAUGCUAAUACCGUAUAACAAUGACAACCGCAUGGUUGUUAUUUAAAAGAUGGUUCUGCUAUCACUAAGAGAUGGUCCCGCGGUGCAUUAGCUAGUUGGUAAGGUAAUGGCUUACCAAGGCGAUGAUGCAUAGCCGAGUUGAGAGACUGAUCGGCCACAAUGGGACUGAGACACGGCCCAUACUCCUACGGGAGGCAGCAGUAGGGAAUCUUCCACAAUGGGCGAAAGCCUGAUGGAGCAACGCCGCGUGUGUGAUGAAGGGUUUCGGCUCGUAAGACACUGUUGUAAGAGAAGAAUGACAUUGAGAGUAACUGUUCAAUGUGUGACGGUAUCUUACCAGAAAGGAACGGCUAAAUACGUGCCAGCAGCCGCGGUAAUACGUAUGUUCCAAGCGUUAUCCGGAUUUAUUGGGCGUAAAGCGAGCGCAGACGGUUAUUUAAGUCUGAAGUGAAAGCCCUCAGCUCAACUGAGGAAUUGCUUUGGAAACUGGAUGACUUGAGUGCAGUAGAGGAAAGUGGAACUCCAUGUGUAGCGGUGAAAUGCGUAGAUAUAUGGAAGAACACCAGUGGCGAAGGCGGCUUUCUGGACUGUAACUGACGUUGAGGCUCGAAAGUGUGGGUAGCAAACAGGAUUAGAUACCCUGGUAGUCCACACCGUAAACGAUGAGUGCUAGGUGUUUGAGGGUUUCCGCCCUUAAGUGCCGCAGCUAACGCAUUAAGCACUCCGCCUGGGGAGUACGACCGCAAGGUUGAAACUCAAAGGAAUUGACGGGGACCCGCACAAGCGGUGGAGCAUGUGGUUUAAUUCGAAGCAACGCGAAGAACCUUACCAGGUCUUGACAUCCCUUGACAACUCCAGAGAUGGAGCGUUCCCUUCGGGGACAAGGUGACAGGUGGUGCAUGGUUGUCGUCAGCUCGUGUCGUGAGAUGUUGGGUUAAGUCCCGCAACGAGCGCAACCCUUAUUACUAGUUGCCAGCAUUCAGUUGGGCACUCUAGUGAGACUGCCGGUGACAAACCGGAGGAAGGUGGGGAUGACGUCAAAUCAUCAUGCCCCUUAUGACCUGGGCUACACACGUGCUACAAUGGCGUAUACAACGAGUUGCCAACCCGCGAGGGUGAGCUAAUCUCUUAAAGUACGUCUCAGUUCGGAUUGUAGGCUGCAACUCGCCUACAUGAAGUCGGAAUCGCUAGUAAUCGCGGAUCAGCACGCCGCGGUGAAUACGUUCCCGGGUCUUGUACACACCGCCCGUCACACCAUGAGAGUUUGUAACACCCAAAGCCGGUGGGGUAACCUUCGGGAGCCAGCCGUCUAAGGUGGGACAGAUGAUUAGGGUG